GACACAACUUUUCCACGGCAGGUCUUGCUUUCUGGAGGGGAAGCAGAGAGGCUGUGAAGACGGGGUGAGGGGACAAGAAAGCGGAAGGAGGCUCCAAGCCCUCAGGCCGGCCAGGAGUCACUGCUCUCCCAGACAUGGGAUCUGUGGAGCUGGCGAGGGACCUGAGGGGUCCAGGCCAACCUUCACCGCCACCCCCAUCCCUGGCACCUGGGCCAGAUCUGCUCGUAAGAGACUAUUCGUGCAAAAUGACCACAAGAUACUGGCCCAGGCUGGGCAUGGAGUAGGAGACAGAAGACCUUCGGUAAACAAUAGCUGUCGUUAGGCUGCACAGGGCCUGGCAAGAAGUGAACGCUUCAUGCGUGGGAGUCGUGCUGAGUAACAACUGCCGUUCUGGAGGUGUGCCGACUGUGAGCUCAGGAUAGGGCCUUUUCUCUCCCUCUUGGGGGUUUCUCAUGCCCUUCCCCUUUCAUUUGUGUCUGGGUCAUCCUGGUCUGCUUUUAGCCAGUUAUUUCUGGUCUGUUCUUUGAGGGGAGGGAUCCCACACAUUGAAAUGUUUCUCCUCCGACUCUAGGAGACUUGAGGGUAAACAGGUGGUAAGCGAACGCUCCAGUCCCCAGCUCGGCUUGGCCUCACGAGAGCAGCCCCAGAUUGACAAAGGAGCCCUGGCCUGGCCGGGUGGGCCGGUCCACCACGACACCCUCUCGGAACUCGGAUUCCUCAUCCUGACGCAUGUGGUCCCCUCCUCCUUGAGCCCCAGAGACCCAAGUGAGGAUGGCCCCUCACUUGGCAUCUUGGCCCUCUUCAUCGAACACCACAAUCUCAUCCACACAGAAGAUGGCGCAGGCUCUGGCAAUCUGGCCGGCCAGGUCUGUACGGCCCCUGACCCUCCAGAGCAUCAGGUCUGGCCAAGGAGAAGAUACAAUUUGUUAGGGUAGAUCCAAAUGUACUGACGUGGAAGGGCAGCCAGGAUGCAAUGUGGGAUGAGAAACACCAGGCCCAGAAGUGCACGAUCAAGGGCUCUCACUUCUGUAAAACUGUGUCUACACAUCUCUCUACGUGUGUCUGAGCGGGGACAACAACAUCUGGAGAAACGUUCACUGCCAGGCUUGCUGGGACUUUUCUUCAUUAUAGUUUUCUGUAUGGUUCGAGGGGUUUUGUUUUGAGGAUGUAUUAGUUAAUGAGGAAAAAAAGAGGCAUUCUUAUUAUGGAAUCGAAAUAAUUAAAUGAAAAAUGAAAUUAAAGUUCUCAAUAAAAAAAGCAAAACAUGGG